UACAGAGGUCUCAAGCGUUGUUCGGAUUCAUUGGGCGUAAAGUGUGCGCAGGCGGCCGCGCAAGUCGAGUGUGAAAGCCCCGAGCUUAACUUGGGAAUUGCGCUCGAAACUACGUGGCUGGAGUGUGGCAGAGGAAGGUGGAAUUCCAGGUGUAGCGGUGAAAUGCGUAGAGAUCUGGAGGAACACCGAUGGCGAAGGCAGCCUUCUGGGCCAACACUGACGCUCAUGCACGAAAGCGUGGGGAGCAAACAGG
rnacentral:rRNA from 1 species